GCCCUUAGAGUUUGAUCAUGGCUCAGAAUGAACGCUGGCGGCGUGCCUAACACAUGCAAGUCAAACGGCUUUGUAGCAAUACGAAGCAGUGGCGCACGGGUGAGUAAUACAUGGGAAUUUCCCAAGUGGAGAAGAAUACCUACGGGAAACUGUAAUUAAUACUUCGUAAGCAGGGCAUCUUCGGAUGUACUGGAAAGAUGGGGAUCGGAGCAAUCCGACCUAUCGCCAUUUGAUAAGCUCAUGUCCCAUUAGCUAGUUGGUGAGGUAACGGCCCACCAAGGCGACGAUGGGUAACUGGUCUGAGAGGACGAUCAGUCACACUGGAACUGAGACACGGUCCAGACUCCUACGGGAGGCAGCAGUGGGGAAUAUUGCGCAAUGGGCGAAAGCCUGACGCAGCAACGCCGCGUGAGUGAAGAAGGCCUUCGGGUUGUAAAGCUCUUUCGGUUGGGAAGAAGGGUGUAGAGGUGAACAAUCUCUGCAUUUGAUGG
rnacentral:rRNA from 1 species